CAACAUUUCACACAACCUUUCUAAAGCGAGAACACUAAGCUAAAACGCAGCAUGCUAGGUGAAGUUGUUCCUUCCACAGUCAACCCCAAGCUUACCCAAUUGGCACAGCUGGAGCUGAGAAUGCGCAGCAGUCUAUCAAUAAUAUCUGCUGGAGACUGGAUCGCGUGCAACCUGUCCUAACCUCACCAUCCAAUCCAUCUGCUAACCGUUUCUAAAGCACACUGCCCUGUGCUUGAACUAAUGCAUAAAAAUAGUAAGCCUGGAACCAUGCUGAACGUGAUGUUGAAUACAGAAAUGCACCCCCCUUGACUUCAACAAGGUUGAACUGGGCUGAUAGCACGUGCAGUAGAGGACAGAAUGGAGAUGAAGGGGCUCCCCAUUUGACCCCAAUGUGUGAUGGACACAACUGGGCUGCAGCCGUUUUCUGUCUCUGUUGAACUUUCAAACUAUCCACAGUAAAAGAGAUUAACCUUU